rnacentral:rRNA from 1 species
AACGAACGCUGGCGGCAUGCCUAACACAUGCAAGUCGAACGAGACCUUCGGGUCUAGUGGCGCACGGGUGCGUAACGCGUGGGAACCUGCCCUUAGGUUCGGAAUAACUCCCCGAAAGGGGUGCUAAUACCGGAUAAUGUCUUCGGACCAAAGAUUUAUCGCCUUUGGAUGGGCCCGCGUUGGAUUAGCUAUUUGGUAGGGUAAAAGCCUACCAAGGCGACGAUCCAUAGCUGGUCUGAGAGGAUGAUCAGCCACACUGGGACUGAGACACGGCCCAGACUCCUACGGGAGGCAGCAGUGGGGAAUAUUGGACAAUGGGCGAAAGCCUGAUCCAGCAAUGCCGCGUGAGUGAUGAAGGCCUUAGGGUUGUAAAGCUCUUUUAACCGGGAUGAUAAUGACAGUACCGGGAGAAUAAGCUCCGGCUAACUCCGUG